GGUGGCUCAGUGAUAGAGUGCUUGCCUAGCAUGCAUGAAGCCCUGGGUUCAAUUCCUCAGCACCA
rnacentral:tRNA from 1 species